rnacentral:rRNA from 1 species
UACGGAGGGGGCGAGCGUUAUUCGGAAUUAUUGGGCGUAAAGGGCGCGUAGGCGGCUAGAUGUGUCAAAGGUGAAAUCCCUCGGCUCAACUGAGGAACUGCCUUUGAAACUGUCUGGCUUGAGGCCGAGAGAGGGUAGCGGAAUUCCCAGUGUAGCGGUGAAAUGCGUAGAGAUCCGGAAGAACACCGGUGGCGAAGGCGGCCUGCUGGGACAGUGCUGACGCUGAAGCGCGACAGCGUGGGGAGCAAACAGG